CACCGCGGUUAUACGAGAGACCCAAGUUGACAGAAUCCGGCGUAAAGCGUGGUUAAGGGUCCCAAAAAACUAAAGCCGAAUGUUCUCAGAGCAGUUAUACGCAUCCGAAGAUACGAAGCUCCACCACGAAAGUGGCUUUACACCCCCUCCCCUGACCCCACGAAAGCUAUGAAA
rnacentral:rRNA from 1 species